rnacentral:rRNA from 1 species
CCUACGGGGGGCAGCAGUGGGGAAUAUUGGACAAUGGGGGGAACCCUGAUCCAGCCAUGCCGCGUGUGUGAAGAAGGCCCUCGGGUUGUAAAGCACUUUCAGUGAGGAAGAACGCCUGGUGGUUAAUACCCAUCAGGAAAGACAUCACUCACAGAAGAAGCACCGGCUAACUCCGUGCCAGCAGCCGCGGUAAUACGGAGGGUGCGAGCGUUAAUCGGAAUUACUGGGCGUAAAGCGCGCGUAGGUGGCUUGAUAAGCCGGUUGUGAAAGCCCCGGGCUCAACCUGGGAACGGCAUCCGGAGCUGUCAAGCUAGAGUGCAGGAUAGGAAGGUAGUAUUCCCGGUGUAGCGGGGAAAUGCGUAGAGAUCGGGAGGAAUACCAGUGGCGAAGGCGGCCUUCUAGACUGACACUGACACUGAGGUGCGAAAGCGUGGGUAGCAAACAGGAUUAGAUACCACAGUAGUC